ensembl:lncRNA
CUAAGUGCCGCUGAAUUGUACUUGUGAUGUUUCUAUGAAGGGGGGAUCUGCAAUGCAAUGAGCGUUGUUUACCCAGCAGGUGGAUAUGACGUCAUAUUGGAACAUCAAAACAAAAACAUCCAAAUCCGCGAUUCUUCCUUUUUUUUCUUCUUUCCUUCUUCUUCUUCUUCCUUUUUUUGUGGCGUGUCUUCGGCGUGUUAAAAUCUAAUAACAUUGGGAAAAAAACGAGCUUCCCCUGCGAGAGACACCGGCAGGCAGCGAGUGUGAAACUCCACAUUUUUAUUUUUUAUUUUUGUUGUUGCUCUUAUUUCGACGCCCUCGGGCAACAUGGAAAGGAAGUGAAGUUGGCCCGCUUUGAGAACAAUCUAAAGCUGCUAGUGAAAGCUGGUUACGUCAGAACUCUGUGUUGGUCUCCGGGCUCGUUGUCUUCUGGAGAAGUGGUGAACUGUGUCAUCUCCAGCCACUAACAACCAACAGCUGCAGCACUAGCCACCGAUGCAGAUCGAGGGACAAUGUGGAACUGAUUUUGUAAUGCAGAG